rnacentral:lncRNA from 1 species
GGUUACUUACCAUUCACCUGCAACAUAUGCCAUAGGAGACAGGCUUUACUGUUCAGAACACAGAUGGUGGCUGGUUAAUAAGUUUUGAAAAACACAUAAAUGAAAGACUCUGAAGAUCCAGAAGUGAUUUUUGGACAUCUUGGCAAAUGUUGUGACCUUCCCUUUUGUCUUUUAAAAACAAAGAUUUCAGAAUCCAAAACCAAGUGCAGCAGCAUAUAUGUAACCUCAGACUGAGAAGGCAGAGGCAAGAGUCAGCUCUAUUGUCUCCAUAGUGAGCUCCAGCCUAGCCAGAGAUAAAUAAAGUACCCUAGGAAAAAUGAUGCAUUUAUACUUGAUUUUCCUUUGUCUUUUACUGUGUGCUAAGAGCUAGUUUGGUAAAAUUGAUAUACAUACAUAUUACCAAAGCCAACAUGUCAUAGAUUGGUAUGGUAUAUGUUCCUACUCAAAUUAUCUUUUCUCUGGUAACAGAACACAUAUAGUCUUAUAUAUUAUCAUGUAGCUUUUUGUAAGAGAAAAAAUAAUCCCACAGGCAGUGCUUAAGAAAGUCUACCAGUACAUUACUGCCAGGAUUGCCCAGAGCAAUCAGACAUAAGAGGAAAGAAACAGGAAGGGAUGAGGCCUAAAUAUUAUUACACACACACACACACACACACACACACACACACACACACACACACACACACAAAGAUAAUCUGAAAGUAGACACAGGCCCCCAUUCCUAACUCAGGUGCAGGUACUAUCUCCAAUUGAUAACUGCUCACAAAAAAAAAAAAAAAAAAAAAAAAAAGGUUUCUCCAAGGGAGUUUCUUCUUCAGAGGUGUUUUCUGAGCCUUAGUGAGGGAUGUGAGUUUGUGUGUGAGUGUAUAUGUGCAUGUAUGCAUAUAUGUUUACAUAUGUGUAAAUGUGUGUGUGUGUCCAAGGUGGUGGGGGUGAUAAAAUGCUCCUUUUGCAGCUCAAUGCUUAGUUUUUAUUCCCAACACUCUGGCCAGUUUUAGUCUUUGUAUUGCCUGCUGCCUGCUGCAAAAAGCUUCUCUGGGCACGAUUAAAAGCAGCCAACAUUUAUGGCUGUUAACUUAAGUAUGUAGAAGGAAAUUUGACAAUAUGACCAUUUAGUAAAACAACUAUUACUUUCUAAGCCAUAGAUUCUUAAUAGGAUUAGAAUAUAAGGCAUAAAAUGUUCUCCUGUAGAAUAUUCAAUCAGAAAGACAUUACUUAUGUUCUAAUAGUUGCGCAAUUAUUGUAUGACCUGGCACACCUUGCCUGGCAGCUCAGUUCUGUAGCAUACAGGGUUGAAGACUAGGUAUGAUCAUUAAUGUAUUUUCUUGCCCAAAAGCCUGGGAAAUAUAAAACCUGGACACCAGGGAAUUUCCUGGACAGUUUAGGAUUGACUUUUUUCUUGCAGUCAAAGUUUGUGUUGUUUCUGCCACAUCAUCAUGAGUAACCAAGGAUGAUGGCAAUAGCCUGUGUUGUUGUGAACACUUCUGGGGGUUCCCUGACCAAUAAUUUCUAGGAUAGUAUCUAAUGCUUACACUGUGAUUUUUAUAGUAGCUCAUGGUGUCUGGGAGUAGCACUGUCUAUACAUGUGUGGUGCUUCUGUUCAAACUCCCUGUUGUUUACAUUGAUAUUUUGAAAUUAGUUUGCUAACUCCUGUGUUUCCAUAAGAAUAUUCAUAUAUCCUUAGUUUUGAUUUGCAUUUCCCAAUGACUAAGGACAUUGAACAUUACUUUAACUGCUUUUCAGCCAUUUGAGUUUACUCUUUUGAGAAUUCUUUGAGUAGACCUCAUUUUUAAUUCAAUUGUUUUCUUGAUGUCUACUUUGGUUUUUUUUUUUUCUAGCUCUUUAUAUAUUUUAGAUAUUAGCCUGCCAGGAGGCCUUCCCUGGCCAUUUGACAGGGUGGCCUGAGAGGAGACAGAGAGUUUGAGAGGGAGGAAUGAGUCAGGAAGGGUGGUCUUGCAACUCUGACUGACUAGUAUUCGGGUCACUUUCACAGAACACAGAACACAGAACACAGACCACGGACAGACUCAUUAUCUAAGAAGUACAGAUUAUAUAGUUUUUAUCUCUGGACAUAUGUUUGACUUUUCAUUACAUGUCAGGGCUUACAAAUUCAGUCACAAUUAGAAAGUACAAAUAGAGCAGAUUUUAAUUUUAUUAUCAGCUUUAUAACUCUAAUUUAAGGAAUCUAAAGAAUGUCUCCUACAAAUCAAGCACAUUAUAUGACAGCCUGUUUUUAGGUUGGCAGUAUUUUUUUAUUUUGAAAACAGUCUACACAAACAGAAAAUACCUGUUUGUUUGGUUUUUUGGGUUUUUUUGGGUUUUUUUUUGUUUUUUGUUUUUUUUUUUUUUUUUUUUUUUUGGUUUUUGGUGUUUGGUUUUUUGAGACAGUGUUUCUCUGUAUAGCCCCAGUUGUCCUGGAACUCAUUCUGUAGACCAAGCUGGUCUUGAACUCAGAAAUCCACCUUGCCUCUGCCUCCCAAGUACUGGGAUUAAAGGCUCGAGACACCACUGCCCAGCACAGAAAAUAUCUGAACCAGUCUCUUUAUGAACAACAAAUACUAAAACCUAGCUUCUUUUACUACAUGUUUCAUUAUCUAUGCUACAAAGUAUGAAUGAUUUAGUUUAGUCCAUCUAUCUAAUUUACCUAGUUCUAUUCCUCCAGGGGUGUACCCUGUAUGAUUCUCUAUCUUUAAACUGCAUUUUCAGAGGGCUCUGAGCAUAUACUAAAGAUGACCUACAGAAACUCUUGCUACUUCUGUCAUUUCCUGCUGCACAAUGUUGCCAUUUUUUAAGGCCAAUAUGAAUGUGGGCAGAGCCAAUUCACCCCAUCUCCUCUUUAAGAGAAAUGGAGGGAGGAUGAUAUGACAUGCAAACAACUUUAUUGAGUGGGUACUGUUUGCCCAGGGAUGUAAUGGUGUUUAUUCUGGUAAGCUAUAUCAUUUCUUGCUCGGGUAUCAUUAAAGCAUGUUUUUCUUG